AUGCCGCCCCACUACCGCCGGAUCCUCUUCUCGGACGACUGCGAUCCUUGGUACGGCUGCCCCACGCCUCCCGCCCCUCCCUUCUUCACCCCUUCCCCAUCCCCCUCGCCUUCCUCUCCGCCGCCGAUCAUAUCGCCUCCUCCUCCUCCUUCGCCUUCCUUUUCUUUCUAUUUCCCUUCCCCCCCGGACCUUGCUCCGUCCCCUUCGCCCGUCCAUGACGGCGGCGGUGGUUGGAGUGACCAGGGAGGAGGAACUUACGGGUACGGCGCCGUCGAUGACCGCCGCCGCCGCUUCGUCACCUACGUCCUCUGCGCCGCCGCGGCGCUCGCGUUCCUCUCCCUCAUCCUCCUCGGCGCCUCGAUCGCCGUCCGUCGUCGGCAGCUGCGGCGGCGGCGGCAGGCGCUCCUCGCCCAGCCGCCGGCCGCCGCGACCAACGUCGGGAACGACGACCCGGAGGGCGGCGGCAGCGGCGGCGUGGUGCACCACGUCUGGUACAUCCGGACCGUCGGGCUCGACGAGGCGGCGAUCGACUCGAUCGCGGUGACGCGGUACCGCGCGGGGUCUGGGCUCCUCGGCGCCGCCGACUGCUCCGUGUGCCUCGGCGAGUUCAACGACGGCGAGCUCGUGCGCCUGCUGCCCAAGUGCGGCCACGCGUUCCACGUCCCCUGCAUCGACACCUGGCUCCGCGCCCACGUCAACUGCCCGCUCUGCCGCUCCGACGUGAUCGACCCCGCCGCCACGACCGCCGGAGCCGGCAUCGAGUCCGACUCGAACCCAUCGGCUGAUCCAGAUGUGAACGCCAACGCCGCAGCCGAGCAAGCGGCUGCCGGGAGCGAUUCAACGCUGGAGCAUGAAGACGACGAGGAGGACCAGGAAGCGCCGCGCGUGGAAGAAGAACAGCACGAGCAGCAGCAACCCAAUUCGCCAGAGCCAGAGCCAUUGCCGCAGCUCCCGGGCCCGCUGCCGCGGAAUGUGCGGCGCGCGGCGUCGAUGAACGCGGCGAUGGUCUCAACGGCGGCAGACGUGGCCGCGCUGGACCGGCUGCCUGACGCGGCCCCCGAAGGGGAGGAGCGGAAUGGCAGAGAGAAGCAUCAAAGCGGUGCGACCGGCCAUCCGAGCACCGAGAGGCCCGCGCCCGGCGGUCUCCCGAGGUCCUUCUUCGCGCGGCACUGCCGUGCCCGGAGCUCUGUGCUGCCGCUGUGA
rnacentral:rRNA from 1 species